rnacentral:rRNA from 1 species
CCAAUAGCGUAUAUUAAAAUUAGAGUGUUUAAAGCAGGCUUACGCUUGAAUACAUUAGCAUGGAAUAAUGAAAUAGGACGUUUGAUCCUAUUUUGUUGGUUUCUAGGAUUGACGUAAUGAUUAAUAGGGAUAGUUGGGGGCAUUAGUAUUCAAUUGUCAGAGGUGAAAUUCUUGGAUUUAUUGAAGACUAACUACUGCGAAAGCAUUUGCCAAGGAUGUUUUCAUUAAUCAAGAACGAAAGUUAGGGGAUCGAAGACGAUCAGAUACCGUCGUAGUCUUAACCAUAAACUAUGCCGACUAGGGAUCGGAUGAUGUUAAUUUUUUAAUGACUCAUUCGGCGCCUUACG